ACAUAACCUUUAGCCAAACAAAUAUUAAAGGCAACGCCUGCCCAGUGAACAAUUAAACGGCCGCGGUACACUAACCGUGCAAAGGUAGCAUAAUAAUUUGUCUACUAAUUAUAGACCUGCAUGAAAGGCAAAAUGAGGGCUUGACUGUCUCUUAUAGUAAAUCAAUUAAACUGAUCUCCUAGUAAAAAAGCUAGAAUUACCACAUAAGACCAGAAGACCCUGUGAAGCUUAAACUAAACUAUUAAACCAAAUAAUAACUACUUUAGGUUGGGGCGACCUUGGAAAAAGAAUAACUUCAAAAGUCUAACGACACAAACAGGCCGACAAGCCAAUCAAACGACCCAGCAACGCUGAAAAUUGAACCAAGUUACUCCAGGGAUAACAGCGCAAUCUUCUUCAAGAGCCCAUAUCAAAAAGAAGGUUUACGACCUCGAUGUUGGAUCAGGACAUCCUAAUGGUGCAGAAGCUAUUAAGGGUUCGUUUGUUCAACGAUUAAUGUCCUACG
rnacentral:rRNA from 1 species